rnacentral:rRNA from 1 species
AGAGUUUGAUCCUGGCUCAGAUUGAACGCUGGCGGAAUGCUUUACACAUGCAAGUCGAACGGCAGCACGGGAGCUUGCUCCUGGUGGCGAGUGGCGAACGGGUGAGUAAUGCGUCGGAACGUACCGAGUAAUGGGGGAUAACGCGGCGAAAGUCGCGCUAAUACCGCAUACGCCCUGAGGGGGAAAGCGGGGGAUCGCAAGACCUCGCGUUAUUCGAGCGGCCGACGUCUGAUUAGCUAGUUGGUGGGGUAAAGGCUCACCAAGGCGACGAUCAGUAGCGGGUCUGAGAGGAUGAUCCGCCACACUGGGACUGAGACACGGCCCAGACUCCUACGGGAGGCAGCAGUGGGGAAUUUUGGACAAUGGGGGCAACCCUGAUCCAGCCAUUCCGCGUGAGUGAAGAAGGCCUUCGGGUUGUAAAGCUCUUUCAGCUGGAGCGAAAUGGUACGCUCUAACAUAGCGUGCUAAUGACGGUACCAGCAGAAGAAGCACCGGCUAACUAUGUGCCAGCAGCCGCGGUAAUACGUAGGGUGCGAGCGUUAAUCGGAAUUACUGGGCGUAAAGCGUGCGCAGGCGGAUUGUUAAGCAAGACGUGAAAUCCCCGGGCUUAACCUGGGAAUGGCGUUUUGAACUGGCAGUCUAGAGUGCGUCAGAGGGGGGUGGAAUUCCACGUGUAGCAGUGAAAUGCGUAGAGAUGUGGAGGAACACCGAUGGCGAAGGCAGCCCCCUGGGAUGACACUGACGCUCAUGUACGAAAGCGUGGGUAGCAAACAGGAUUAGAUACCCUGGUAGUCCACGCCCUAAACGAUGUCAACUGGUUGUUGGGGGAGUGAAAUCCCUUAGUAACGAAGCUAACGCGUGAAGUUGACCGCCUGGGGAGUACGGUCGCAAGAUU